rnacentral:lncRNA from 1 species
AGGCACUUCUCCUUCUUGCCACCUUGUGAAGAAGGUGUCUUGCUUUCUCUUCGCUUUCUACCAUGAUUGUAAGUUUCCUGAAGGCUCCCCAGCCAUGCUGAACGAAUGGUGCAGGCUCUGGCUGCUGGCGUUAUAAACUGGACGGCAAGGCUACCGGGAGCUGACAGCACGAGGAGGUGGCUGAAAAAGUCAUAGCCAUCUGACGGACUCUGGACAGACCCCACCAGAAUUAGUGAUGUAUGAGAGAAGAGAAAAAACAAAAGGGCAUGUUGUUAUUUUCUUAAAUACGUGAUAAGUAGGGCCAAUCUCUCUCCUUUUUAACCAAAGAAAUUAUGUUAUUAUCUGUUUAUA